GCUCUCGUAGCUCAGUUGGUAGAGCGCGGCACUAGUAUCCAAUCACGUGAAAGUCACGUGAUUCCGGCAAUGCCGAGGUCUACGGUUCAACUCCGUACGGGAGCA
rnacentral:tRNA from 1 species